GAUUGGGGGAGAAAGAAGAUUUGUAUUCAUCCGUUCAAUUUGAAUCUUAAAAGAAAUUUAGAAAAAGAUGAAGAAAUUACAAAAGUAGGACUUAAGUCUUUUUUUUUAAUUGAUGAUCUAAAAGCGAGGUACACUACUUCUGUUUAUAAUUGUGAGAUUUGCCCUUGUACAGUUUGGGUCAGAGUCUUCUUCCUAAUUCUAGUAAGACUCUCUUUUCUAUAAUAGAUAAAACUAGUAUAAAUAAACUAGAAAAGGCUAGAAUUUUAGAAAGUAAAUCUUAACUUCUACAUCAACUCUACCUUCUUUUAUUCCACCUAAUUCUUUUUGGAUUGAAAGAUAUGUCUAGUCAAAGUCUUACCUGAAAAUUUUUUUUUGGUUUUAUCGGCCUAUUUCAAACGCCAAAUGAUGGAAUUUGGGCUCAAUUACUAAAGGUGCCAGCCCCAAAAGGGAAGGGCAUCAUGGUGUAGAUCUCAAAAGUUGGCCGGUUUUUUUUAAAAAGAUCAUCUUAAUCGAACAUCAUAUAA
rnacentral:lncRNA from 1 species